rnacentral:rRNA from 1 species
AUUGAACGCUGGCGGCAGGCUUAACACAUGCAAGUCGAGCGGGGUGAUGGUGCUUGCACUAUCACUUAGCGGCGGACGGGUGAGUAAUGCUUAGGAAUCUGCCUAUUAGUGGGGGACAACAUCUCGAAAGGGAUGCUAAUACCGCAUACGUCCUACGGGAGAAAGCAGGGGAUCACUUGUGACCUUGCGCUAAUAGAUGAGCCUAAGUCGGAUUAGCUAGUUGGUGGGGUAAAGGCCUACCAAGGAGACGAUCUGUAGCGGGUCUGAGAGGAUGAUACGCCACACUGGGACUGAGACACGGCCCAGACUCCUACGGUAGGCAGCAGUGGGGAAUAUUGGACAAUGGGGUGAACCCUGAUCCAGCCAUGCCGCGUGUGUGAAGAAGGCCUUAUGGUUGUAAAGCACUGUAAGCGAGGAGGAGGCUCUUUUGGUUAAUACCCAAGAUGAGUGGACGUUACUCGCAGAAUAAGCACCGGCUAACUCUGUGCCAGCCGCCGCAGUAA